CAACGUUCUUCCACCUGAUUUUCCUCAUCUCAAAAUCAGCAUUGCAACUAUGCUACCACUGGAUUUAAUUAUAAUUUCAUUUCUUGAUAGAUAGCUAGUUAAUCUGUUUGUCCUCCUUCCUCA